rnacentral:rRNA from 1 species
GCAGACAACGAAUGCCUAGGAUACUGAAGCCGAAGAAGGACGUACGUGGCCACGAAAGUCGUCGGGGAGCUGCCAAGAAGCUUUGAUCCGGCGGUGUCCGAAUGGGGAAACCCCCUCUUUAUGAGGACCCCGCCUAUGGCGGGGGGGGCACGCCCUGAACUGAAACAUCUAAGUAAGGGCAGGAAAAGAAAUCAACGUUCGCGCAAGCGAGAGAGAUUCCGUAAGUAAGCGGUGAGCGAAAGCGGAACAGCCUAAACCCCGCCGCAAGGCGAGGGUGUUGCGGGAAGGCCGAGUGACCGGCAAGGGUAGUCGAACUGUCUGGAAAGGCAGGCUAUAAAACGUGACAGCCGUGUAGGCGAAACCCAAGCCGGCGUGAAGCCGAAUUCCCAAGUACCAUGAGGCACAUACCUUGUGGGAAUCCGGGGUGACCACACUCCAAGGCUAAAUACUUCAGUGUACCGAUAGUGAACUAGUACCGUGAGGGAAAGGCGAAAAGAAGGGUGAGAAACCUAGUGAAAUAGAACCUGAAAUUGUCUGCUGUCAAGCAGACGGAGUCCCGCCUUUGGCGGGAUGACGUCGUGCCUAUUGAAGAAUGAUCCGGCGAGUUUUCGUUACAUGCAUGUCUAAUCCGUCUAAAGCGGAGGAGGCGUAGUGAAAGCGAGGGUUAACAGCCCGUAUAUUGCAUGUGAUGGAAGACCCGAAACCUGGUGAGCUAACCAUGAGCAGGGUGAACCCCGUCGAAAGACGGGGGGAGGCCCGCACUCGUCAGAGUUACAAAUCUGUGAGAUGACUUGUGGUUAGGGGUAAUAUGCCAAUCGAACCAGGAGAUAGCUGGCUCUCCCCGAAAUAUAUAUAGGUAUAGCCUUAAGACUAACUUUCAAGAGGUAGAGCACUGGAUGGGCAGGGCAUCUUUAGGUGUCCUAUUCAAUCAAACUCCGAAUUCUUGAAAGCUACAUCUUAGGAGUCAGAACGACCCGGCUAAGCGGGCCGCUCUAAAGGGAAACAACCCAGACUGUCGUCUAAGGCCUCUAAAUGAAUGCUCAGUGUUGAACGAAGUCAAAUUCCUCAGACAGCCAGGAGGUUGGCUCAGAAGCAGCCAUCCUUUAAAGAAAGCGUAACAGCUCACUGGUCGACCUUGGAAUUUGGCGCGGAAAAUGAACCGAGGCUUAAGCAUUCUGCCGAAGACACAGAUUUUUUUGACGUUCGCGUCAAAAAAGUGGUAGGGGAGCGUUGAAGGAGCAGUGAAGUCCCUCUGUAAAGAUCGGGAUGGAGCGACUUCAAGUGAGAAUGCCGGAAUGAGUAGCGUAAGCCCGAUGAGAAUUCGGGCCGCCGAAACCCCAAGGUUUUCCCAGCCAUGUUGUUCAGCUGGGAGUGAGUCGGCACCUAAGGUGAGGCCUAAGUUGGCGUAACCGAUGGACGAGCCGUUAACAUUCGGCUACAUGAUAAGUAUCGUUAUAAAAUCAGGGAUGGACAAAAUGAGAAUAUCCGAACGCACGUAGUGAAUGUGGCGUUUAAGCAGCAAGACAGUUAGGCUUGGAAAAACCGGUCUGACGUUUAAUUGAGCUGUGAUGAGAAGUCUGGCGAGAAAUCAACGGGCAACUCGGACGGUUUUUGUUUUCCAGAAAAGAUUCGUGGUGAGAUAUUUAUUAUGCCGUACCGCAAACCGACACUGGUGGGGUGGUCGAGUAGACCAAGGCGAUCGGGAGAAGGUAGUUCAAGGAACUCGGCAAAAAAUCUGGACGUAAUCUAGAGAGAUGUCCUUCCCGCCUAUGGCGGGACGCAGCGAAAGAUUAUUCCCCGACUGUUUAACUAAAACACAGGUCUGUGCAAACUUGAAAGAGAAAGUAUACAGGCUGAGGCCUGCCCAGUGCUCGUAAGUUAAGUGGAUGGCUGAGAUUACAUCAAGGCUUGAAAUGAAGCCCGAGUGAACGGCAGCAGUAACUAUGUCGAACUGUUCUAUGGUAGCGAAGUUCCUUGUCGGGUAAGCGGCAGUUCCGACCCGCACGAAAGGCUUAACGAGGGAAUAACUGUCUUGAACUAUCACCCGGCGAAUUUGAAAUGGCUGUGAAGAUGCGGCCUAACUCUACUAGGACAAAAAGACCCUAUGGAGCUUUACUGUACCCAGGCCCUGUUUUGGAUUUUGAGAUAGUUUAGAGUAGGAGGGAGUUCUCGGACAAAAGUGAAACACCUCCCGUUUUGGAAUUUCAAAACUUACCCAGACCAGCUGGAAACGCUGGUGGGGACGAGGUCUGGAUGGCAGUUUUACUGGGGAGGUAUCCUGCUAAAAGGUAACGCAGGAGUACCAAGGUGCACUAGGCUCGGAUGGAAAUCGAGCGAGUCGUAUAACGGCAUAAGUGCGCUUGACUGCGAGAGCGACGGUUCGAGCAGGGACGAAAGUCGGUCGUAAUGAUCCUCGUUAGCCUUGUGGGAGGCUACGAGCUUAACGGAUAAAAGCUACCCUAGGGAUAACAGGCUGAUCGCCGCCAAGAGUCCAUAUCGACGCGGCGGUUUGGCACCUGAUGUCGGCUCACCCUAUCCUGGAGGGGCAGUACCUUCCAAGGGUCCGUCUGUUCGCCGGUUAAAAGGGUACGCGAGCUGGGUUCAGAACGUCGUGAGACAGUUGGUCGGUCUCUAUCCAGUAGAGUCGUGGAGUUUUUGAGGGGGUCUGACCUCAGUACGAGAGGACCAGGUUGGAGGCACCACUGGUGUGCCGGUUGUAGCGUCAGCUGCACCGCCGGGUAGCUAAGUGCCUACGGGAUAACCGCUGAAAGCAUCUAAGUGGGAAGCCCUACCCAAGAUAAGAAACUCGUCCCGCCGUAAGGCGGGUAAAGACACGGGGUAGACUACCCCGUAUAAGAGGCUGGCGGUGUAAGUUCGGUAACGGAUUUAGCCUACCAGUACUAAUAAGUC